rnacentral:tRNA from 1 species
GGUGAGGUGUCCGAGUGGCUGAAGGAGCACGCCUGGAAAGUGUGUAUACCGAAAGGUAUCGAGGGUUCGAAUCCCUCCCUCACCGCCA